rnacentral:rRNA from 1 species
GACGAACGCUGGCGGCGUGCUUAACACAUGCAAGUCGAACGGAAAGGCCCCAGCUUGCUGGGGUACUCGAGUGGCGAACGGGUGAGUAACACGUGGGUGAUCUGCCCUGCACUCUGGGAUAAGCCUGGGAAACUGGGUCUAAUACCGGAUAGGACCGUGCUUUAGUGUGCGCGGUGGAAAGUUUUUCGGUGCAGGAUGAGCCCGCGGCCUAUCAGCUUGUUGGUGGGGUAAUGGCCUACCAAGGCGGCGACGGGUAGCCGGCCUGAGAGGGUGUACGGCCACAUUGGGACUGAGACACGGCCCAGACUCCUACGGGAGGCAGCAGUGGGGAAUAUUGCACAAUGGGCGCAAGCCUGAUGCAGCGACGCCGCGUGGGGGAUGACGGCCUUCGGGUUGUAAACCCCUUUCGGCAGGGACGAAGCUUUUGUGACGGUACCUGCAUAAGAAGCACCGGCUAACUACGUG